GCCUUCGUGGUGUAGUGGUCAGCACCCUCGACGCGCAUUCGAGAGGUCCGUGGUUCGAGCCCCGGCGAGGGCA
rnacentral:tRNA from 1 species